rnacentral:tRNA from 1 species
GUGCCGGCAGGCGGGCGACGAGGCCGGCUGCUUCCAGUUGCCGGAUCUGACUGCUGACGGUCGGGCGGCUGAUCCGCUCGGCCUCGGCAAGC